rnacentral:rRNA from 1 species
GACGAACGCUGGCGGCGUGCUUAACACAUGCAAGUCGAACGGAAAGGCCCUGCUUUUGUGGUGUUCUCGAGUGGCGAACGGGUGAGUAACACGUGAGUAACCUGCCCUUGACUUUGGGAUAACUUCAGGAAACUGGGGCUAAUACCGGAUAGGAUCUCCUGCUGCAUGGUGGGGGUUGGAAAUUUUCGGCUGUUGGGGAUGGACUCGCGGCUUAUCAGCUUGUUGGUGGGGUAGUGGCUUACCAAGGCUUUGACGGGUAGCCGGCCUGAGAGGGUGACCGGCGACAUUGGGACUGAGAUACGGCCCAGAGUGGAACGGGAGGCAGCAGUGGGGAAUAUUGCACAAUGGGAGGAAGUCUGAGGAAGAAGCGCCGCGGGCGGGAAGACGGCCUUCGGGUUGUAAACAGCUUUAGCCUGUGACGAAGCGUGAGUGACGGUAAUGGGUAAAGAAGCACCGGCUAACUACGUG